UUUCAAAGGACCCAGUCACCUCGGCUCUUGCCUGAGUUUCAGAGUCCCGCCGGAGUUAGAGCUGGCAGAGUCCAAUUGCUCAGAGCGCCGAGGCGGGGGCGGGUCAGGGGGACGCUUGCAGGUCCGGUGGUCCCGCGGGCUGCGAGCCCCCACGGCCGACCCUAGCUGCAGACCCUCCUGGAGAACCUCAGGCCUUUCCCCUAGAAACAUCCCUAAAAGGCGUUCCCUUUGUUCAUUCAUUCAACAAAUAUUUGUUCAAUCUCAUAUGCCCCUCUGUCUUGGGAAAACCAAUUAGGGCCUCUGCAGCCUCAAUACAGGGGCACUGUUCCCGCCUAUUAAUGACGCAAUGAACCCGGGAAGACGAAUCUCGACCACUGUUUCGCAAAUACCGCGUGUGAUUUAUUAAAUGCCGUCUCUCCGAGUCCCAAGCGGCCGGGAGCAUUAUGCCACCUCCCGUGCCCUCAUCUCUCACUGCCAUGCAAGAAAGCGUUAAUGGCAAAUAGGGCACGUAGCCACACUCCGUCGUUCCUGCUUCCAAGCAAACCUUGUGCCAGGUUCCUCAUUUCGCGAGGCUCCACUCUCUUGGGCUUCAGGCUGCCGCUGGGCCUCCAGCACCAAAGUGCAAUAGGGGUCUGAGAGUCCGGGCCUCAGGCAUCUUCAGGCCGCAGGUGGGUGGAGAAUAGCGCCCGCGCGUGGCAGCGGCCCAGGCCGUCUCAGCCGGAUUUUUCCAUCCCCGGGGUAGGCUUGGUCCCCUGUACACUCCAGCGGAACUACAACUCCCAGCACCGUGGCUGCCCGGACUCCCGGAAGCCGAAUCCCGGCUGGGAGGAAGCAGCUGAGACCCGGCCAACAGACUGGGGGUUAAUUUAGCCAGAAAAGGGGGCGGGAAGGGCUGUAGGGUACUUGUCAAUUCGCCGCCAUGAACGUGGUUUUUGCUGUGAAGCAGUACAUUUCCAAAAUGAUAGAGGACAGCGGGCCUGGUAUGAAAGUACUUCUCAUGGAUAAAGAAACGACUGGCAUAGUGAGUAUGGUAUACACACAAUCGGAGAUUCUACAGAAGGAAGUGUACCUCUUUGAACGCAUUGAUUCUCAAAAUCGAGAGAUCAUGAAACACCUGAAGGCAAUUUGUUUUCUUCGACCUACAAAGGAGAAUGUGGAUUAUAUGAUUCAGGAGCUCCGAAGACCCAAAUACACUAUAUAUUUCAUUUAUUUCAGUAAUGUGAUCAGCAAGAGUGACGUGAAGUCAUUGGCUGAAGCUGAUGAACAGGAAGUUGUGGCUGAGGUUCAGGAAUUUUAUGGUGAUUACAUUGCUGUGAACCCACAUUUGUUUUCCCUCAAUAUUUUGGGUUGCUGCCAGGGUCGAAAUUGGGAUCCAGCCCAGCUAUCUAGAACAACUCAAGGGCUUACAGCUCUCCUUUUAUCUCUGAAGAAGUGUCCCAUGAUUCGUUAUCAGCUCUCAUCAGAGGCAGCAAAGAGACUUGCAGAGUGCGUUAAGCAAGUGAUAACUAAAGAAUAUGAACUGUUUGAAUUCCGUCGGACAGAGGUUCCUCCAUUGCUCCUUAUUUUAGAUCGCUGUGAUGAUGCCAUCACCCCAUUGCUAAACCAGUGGACAUAUCAGGCCAUGGUCCACGAACUACUAGGCAUAAACAACAAUCGGAUUGAUCUUUCCAGAGUGCCGGGAAUCAGUAAAGACUUAAGAGAAGUGGUCCUAUCUGCUGAAAAUGAUGAAUUCUAUGCUAAUAAUAUGUACCUGAACUUUGCUGAGAUUGGUAGCAAUAUAAAGAAUCUCAUGGAAGAUUUUCAGAAGAAGAAACCAAAAGAACAGCAAAAACUAGAAUCAAUAGCAGACAUGAAGGCGUUUGUUGAGAAUUAUCCACAGUUCAAGAAAAUGUCUGGGACUGUUUCAAAGCAUGUGACAGUGGUUGGAGAACUGUCUCGAUUGGUCAGUGAGCGGAAUCUGCUGGAGGUUUCAGAGGUUGAGCAAGAACUGGCCUGUCAAAAUGACCAUUCUAGUGCUCUCCAGAAUAUAAAAAGACUUCUGCAGAACCCCAAAGUGACAGAGUUUGAUGCUGCCCGCCUGGUGAUGCUUUAUGCUUUACAUUAUGAGCGACACAGCAGCAAUAGCCUGCCAGGACUAAUGAUGGACCUCAGGAAUAAAGGUGUUUCUGAGAAGUAUCGAAAGCUCGUGUCUGCAGUUGUUGAAUAUGGUGGUAAACGAGUCAGAGGAAGUGACCUCUUCAGCCCCAAAGAUGCUGUGGCUAUCACCAAACAAUUCCUCAAAGGACUGAAGGGAGUAGAAAAUGUAUAUACACAGCAUCAACCUUUCCUACAUGAAACCCUGGAUCAUCUCAUCAAAGGAAGGCUUAAGGAAAACCUAUAUCCUUAUUUAGGCCCCAGCACACUCAGAGACAGAAUUGCCUCUUGUCUCUGAUAAAGGCAAGCAACUUUUUCAUUUGGUGAGGAAAUGGAGCUAUAUGAUCAUGCAUUCCAGAAUCAGUCAAUUCAAAAAGGAAGUACUUUUCAUGUUUAUACAAAUGUAGUAGAAUCUUGUUGCUACAGCUUAUUUUUUGUUUCUGUGAAGCAGCAGUCCUUUUUCAUUGGCCUUUUUUCCUGCAGUAAAUGCUCAUAAGAACUGUACCAUUUACCUCAGGAUAUCAUUGUGUUUGUAAUUGGAGGAGCCACCUAUGAAGAGGCUCUAACAGUUUAUAACCUGAACCGCACCACUCCUGGAGUGAGGAUUGUCCUGGGAGGCACCACAGUGCACAACACGAAAAGUUUCCUAGAGGAAGUUCUGGCUUCUGGACUGCACAGCCGAAGCAAGGAGAGCUCUCAAGUCACAUCAAGGUCAGCGAGCAGAAGAUGAAACGGUGGUUGGGGGAAGGGCACAGCUUCCUCUCUUGUCCCCACUACAGGCUUUCCCUACUAAACAAAGGUGUUGGAGAGCAGCUUUGGGUUCUGUGCUGGUUGUUAGAACUCAUCUCCAGGUAGCCCACGGAUACGUGGUUGGCACAGACACAAGACUCCCAGAGUUGUCCUAACAAUAAGUCUGAGCCCAUCUCAACCCACUUUUCUCCGGUAGUCUUUAUGUAUCUAUUAGCACAAUCACUUCAGUUACUGAUGAAUUUUGUUGGGAUCUGACUUGGGGAAAGGGUUAUCAGAGCCUAGAGGGGCUUAAAAAGUAAUCAUUUGAUGUACAUACCACAUUCCUUGGCUUCCUUUCUCUUCCCUUAACCCUUUCUGCUUUUCAUUAACCACAUUCCUGCACAACUCAUUUCUGAAAACGUACCAUGUUUCUUUACAGAGCCAUCCAAAAAAUUUUUGUCCCUACAUAGCAAUUUUCUGUGGCACUGAGAAACCAUGUAUGACCACAAUAAAAAUCCAUUUUGUGAAA